AAACGUAGGGGGCAAGCGUUGUCCGGAAUUAUUGGGCGUAAAGGGCGUGUAGGCGGCUCGUGAAGUCAGGAGUGAAGCCCGGGGCUCAACCCCGGGACUGCUUUUGAAACCAGCGGGCUUGAGUACAGGAGAGGGAAGUGGAAUUCCCAGUGUAGCGGUGAAAUGCGUAGAUAUUGGGAGGAACACCAGUGGCGAAAGCGGCUUCCUGGCCUGUAACUGACGCUGAGGCGCGAAAGCGUGGGGAGC
rnacentral:rRNA from 1 species